GACUCUAACCAUAGACCAUGAAUCUGGUCUUGGGACACUGUCAGGUGGGCAGUUUGCCUGGGGCGGUCGCCUCCCACCAGGUAACGGAGGCGCUCAAAGGUUCUCUCAGUACGGUCGGAAAUCGUACGUAGAGUGUAAAGGCAAAAGAGAGCUUGAUUGCAAGACAUACAGGUCGAGCAAGGAUGAAAAUCGGACUUAGUGAUCCGGUGGUUCUGCGUGGAAGGGCCAUCGCUCAACGGAUAAAAGCUACCCUGGGGAUAACAGGCUUAUCUCCCCCAAGAGUCCACAUCGACGGGGAGGUUUGGCACCGAGGUUCCGGCCC
rnacentral:rRNA from 1 species